CCCUCUGCUUGUCGUUCCUCACCUCCUCCUGUAUCUCCAGUUAACCAACCCCUACUCAGCAAUGAGGUACCACAUAGAAGAGCUGCAAAGGAAAGGUAGUUGGACUGAGAACUGUGCCAACACAAAUGAAUAACUGAUGAUGAGAAACCAAGUGGGAAGAGGAAAUAAAUAAUGGAGUACCUCCCGGCAUAACAGAAGAUCUCCUUGCAAAUCUUUAUCCAUGUGAAAGGGCAUGUGGUCUUGUUUGGGGUUCUUGUUUUUAAAUUUUGAGUAAUCCCACCGAUAUUACCUUUCACAAGAUUGUAUUUCAUAGAAUAAAAGCAUAUCUAGUAACUUC